UGUCCUGCUUCUAUUAUACAAAAUGGAGAUUUUUGUUCUUCUACUGGCAAUAUUUCAUCAGCCAGAGCUUCCAUUCUGUUUCACAAGUCCGGAGGAGUACUUUGCAAAUAUCUGUUUGCUUUGUGUUUUUUGGUCUAGCUUAGUGUCAACACUGUCAAGUCUAACUUUGCUUGAAAAUUUGGUAUGCUCUAAUGUUUCGUCUUUCUGGGUAGCCAACUUGAUAUGGGCUCUGCCUAGUGUUUGUUUUUCACUGGAAAAGGAAAAAAAAAUAAACUUUUUCACAAGGCCUAAGCAAUAUUAUAGCAAACAAAAAUGGAACAUGUUCAAGAACAACACAAAAAUUAUUUCUUGAAAUAACUCGAUGGAUGAUAUUGAGAGUGACAGGCUUCAAGAAAUCCCCCAUUAUAAAGUGUAUGACUAACUCCACCAUUUUGGGGGGCGUAAAAUGCAAGCGGGAUUUUACAGGGUUUAGAUUUUGUCACUCUUAAUAAUGUGUUUCAAGAUUGAGGCGGGCUCGCGUGUAUUUCGACACGAUUAUUGUUGUAUGAUCCAAACUGCAACUGAAGAAAUUUAUAAACUAACGUGAAAACGUGGCGAAAUCACAGCCAUCAAAUCCCUUGGCAUAAUUAUU
rnacentral:lncRNA from 1 species